rnacentral:lncRNA from 1 species
CCAUCCAGUGCUGAGUAAUGAUUCAGAGCCAGAAGCCCUGAGGUGUUAGGCUGCCACUGCACACUGGGGAGUAACUGACAGCGCCAGGCACCACACAGCGGGCCCCUCACCUGAUCCACAGGCACGUGGGGCCUAUAGGAGGAGGCGGGUGUCAUCAGGGUGGGGUGAUGUGUUUUCCAGGCAGGGCUGGGAGAAGCAGGCGUGUUCCCAGUGGAACAGCCAUCUCUGCUCUUCCUGGGGGAGAUCCCUUACGACAGCCCCGUGUGGCACCCCGUGGGCUGUUUCUCCCCUUCCUCUCUCCUCCCCUGGCCCAGGCCACCCGAGGAAGUAAUUUGCUCCAACACUGCCUUGGGGUAAAGGAAAGAUCUGAAGGAUCUGGCUUCCUUGCUUGACCCCAGUCUGUGACACCCACUGGACUCCGAACUGACCCCACCUCCUGGUGAGUGGACCCCAGGGCUGGCAUGGGAGUUCACUGGGGCCGACAGAAGGCCCGAAGUGGGGUGCCAGCCUGGAGAGAGAGCUCUCAACACACACUGUGCAAGGUGACGGCAGAGGUGAAGACUGUACCAACAGCCCACGUUCACUGAGUGCCUUCUGGGCACCAGGCGGUGUUCAGUUUAAGGCUCACAGCACUCCUGUGAGGUCAAUGCUAUUACUGAGCUGAGAUUUUAGCACUGGUGGUCCAUCUCGGGAGUCGGUACUCAAUCAUGGCCUAUAUUAAUAAAAACAUGGAAUUAUUGUCCCCACAUUACAAACAAGAGGUCUGGUGCCUUGCCCAUCCCCCACUGCCCGCCACCUCCCAUUCCAACCCUGGCCCCCUCCUCUCUCCAGGCAGGGGGAGGUUGAGGAGGGAAUGGAGUCAGGAUGUAACUGCUUCCCAUUCUCCCUUCUCCACCCUCCAGGAGCUGAGAGCACUCCUUUCGGCUGACAGGAAGCAACCAGAAAAAGAGCAGAUAGUGAGUGAGCAGGUGAGGAAAUCAGAAACCUGCACCUGCCAAUCCAGGAAUUCGUCCAACACACCUCAUAGAAGUGACACCUGGCUACCCAGGGCUAUGGCAGCCAAAUUUCCCACAGUCUCACUGGUUUGACUCAAGAGGCCAGGCUAACAUUAUUACACAUGGACAGUCCAGAGAUUGUGACCAAAUCAUUCUUUCUUUUCAAUAGAGCCGAUCAACUUAAACGGCUGGUUUUUGUCAUCGGACUUUGGAAAAGAACAUAAAAAAGAAGUGGCAUUUUAUAAACAUUUUUGAAACCCUGCUAAAAACUCAAGGUAAAUAUGAAUCCUUCCCAGCCAUCGGGAAAUAAAUUUGGCCAUAACUUUUAUAUGAUCA